GACGAACGCUGGCGACGUGCUUAACACAUGCAAGUCGAACGGAAAGGCCCUGCUUUUGUGGGGUGCUCGAGUGGCGAACGGGUGAGUAAGACGUGAGUAACCUGCCCUUGACUUUGGGAUAACUUCAGGAAACUGGGGCUAAUACCGGAUAGGAGCUCCUGCUGCAUGGUGGGGGUUGGAAAGUUUCGGCGGUUGGGGAUGGACUCGCGGCUUAUCAGCUUGUUGGUGGGGUAGUGGCUUACCAAGGCUUUGACGGGUAGCCGGCCUGAGAGGGUGACCGGCCACAUUGGGACUGAGAUACGGCCCAGACUCCUACGGGAGGCAGCAGUGGGGAAUAUUGCACAAUGGGCGGAAGCCUGAUGCAGCAACGCCGCGUGCGGGAUGACGGCCUUCGGGUUGUAAACCGCUUUCGCCUGUGACGAAGCGUGAGUGACGGUAAUGGGUAAAGAAGCACCGGCUAACUACGUG
rnacentral:rRNA from 1 species